GGGCUCGUUGUCCAACGGCAAGAUACCCGCUUGGCUUGCGGGAGAUUCGGGUUCAAUUCCCGACGAGUCCA
rnacentral:tRNA from 1 species